GAUCAAUCAGGGCCGCGUGGAGUGGGCGGGGCCAUACACCUUUUUGAACUGUGAGAGCUGACAGGUGCAGUUGUUUGCUGAGUCCACCAGGCAUCUCCUAAGUUUCUGUGUCAGUCGCUGUAAUCUCGGUCCAAACGUUGGGUUUUGAUUCAGAUACCUUGGUUUGGUGCCAGGAAGUUAGCAAACAAUAUUCAGAGGCAAAACCAAACUGAGGGAAGGCGUUUAGAAAUUGUAUUCAACUUGUUGUGCUGCAGAAAAAUGGAGCUCGGAGUGUUUGGUGUGUGAGCCGAAAUACACACAAGAGGUCUGUUUGUAGCAGCUCGGCUGCAUUGAGGAAGUGGAUGUCCAGUUUAUGUGGUUCAGAGAAAAGUUUAUUUAUUUAAAGAAAGCUGGAAAAACAACAAGAAGACACUGGGUCGAACCGGUAGAUCUACGAACUGUAAG